AGAGUUUAUGGGGGAUACCUUGGCAUUCAGAAGCGAUGAAGGACGUGGUUACCGACGAAACGCUUCGGGGAGCUGGAAACAAGCUAUGAUCCGGAGAUCUCCGAAUGAGGAAACUCUAAUACUACUUAUUGAAUACAUAAAUAAGAAAGAGCGAACCUAGGGAACUGAAACAUCUUAGUACCUAGAGGAAAAGAAAGUAAAAACGAUUCCCUUAGUAGCGGCGAGCGAAAUGGGAACAGCCUAAACUUAAUUUUAAGGGUAGCGGGACAAUUAUUAAUGAUUAAAUGUGACAAUUAGACGAACUUAGAUGGAAUGCUAAACCAAAGAGAGUGAUAGUCUCGUAGUCGAAAAUUGAAACAAUCAAAUUGUAUCCCAAGUAGCAUGGAGCACGUGAAAUUCCGUGUGAAUCAGCGAGGACCACCUCGUAAGGCUAAAUAUUCCUGAAUGACCGAUAGUGAAAUAGUACCGUGAGGGAAAGGUGAAAAGAACCCCGGGAGGGGAGUGAAAAGAACAUGAAACCAUAAACUUACAACCAGUAGGAGGACGACUAAAACGUCUGACUGCGUGCCUGUUGAAGAAUGAGCCGGCGACUUAUAAGUAGUGGCAGGUUAAGGUAGAGAAUACCGGAGCCAUAGUGAAAGCGAGCCUGAAUAGGGCGUUUGUCACUGGUUAUAGACCCGAACCCGGAUGAUCUAACCAUGGCCAGGUUGAAGCUUAGGUAAUACUAAGUGGAGGACCGAACCGACUGAUGUUGAAAAAUCAGCGGAUGAGUUGUGGUUAGGGGUGAAAUGCCAAUCGAAUUCGGAGCUAGCUGGUUCUCCCCGAAAUGCGUUUAGGCGCAGCGAUGAAUGUUAUAGCUUAGGGGUAAAGCACUGUUACGUAUGCGGGCUGGUAAUUCGGUACCAAAUCGUUGCAAACUAAGAAUACUAAGUGUACAGUUCAUCAGUGAGACUGUGGGGGAUAAGCUCCAUUGUCAAGAGGGAAACAGCCCAGAGCACCAGUUAAGGCCCCUAAAUAAUUGCUAAGUGAUAAAGGAGGUGGGAGUGCAUAGACAAUCAGGAGGUUUGCUUAGAAGCAGCAAUCCUUUAAAGAGUGCGUAAUAGCUCACUGAUCGAGUAAACCUGCGCCGAAAAUGUACGGGACUAAGUAAUUUGCCGAAACUGUGCGAUAUAUAAAAUAUAUCGGUAGGGGAGCGUUCUGUUGUAGGUUGAAGUAUUAGCGGAAGCGGAUAUGGACGAAGCAGAAGUGAGAAUGUCGGCUUGAGUAACGAAAAUAUAGGUGAGAAUCCUAUACCCCGAAAACCCAAGGUUUCCUCCGGAAGGCUCGUCCGCGGAGGGUAAGUCAGGACCUAAGGCGAGGCUGAAAAGCGUAGUCGAUGGACAACGGGUUAAUAUUCCCGUACCAUUAUUUGUUGAUAUCGAGGGACGGAGAAGGCUAAGCUGGCCGGAUAUUGGUUACCGGUUUAAACGUUCGAGAUGAUGAGAAACGGCGAAAACGUUUUGAGUUGAGGCGUGAGUACGAGAUGCUACGGCAUUGAAGCAGUCUAUGUCAUACUUCCAAGAAAAGCUUGCACUGUCAUAAACAAAUAAUGCCUGUACCAUAACCGACACAGGUGGGUAGGUAGAGUAUACUAAGGGGCGCGAGAUAACUCUCUCUAAGGAACUCGGCAAAAUGACUCCGUAACUUCGGGAGAAGGAGUGCCUUAUUUAUAAGGUUGCAAUAACAAGAUCCAAGCAACUGUUUAUCAAAAACACAGGUCUCCGCUAAGUCGUAAGACGAUGUAUGGGGGCUGACGCCUGCCCAGUGCCAGAAGGUUAAAGAAGUUGGUUAGCAUUAGCGAAGCUGAUAACUGAAGCCCUGGUGAACGGCGGCCGUAACUAUAACGGUCCUAAGGUAGCGAAAUUCCUUGUCGGGUAAGUUCCGACCCGCACGAAAGGCGUAAUGAUUUGGAUACUGUCUCAGAGAGGGGCUCGGUGAAAUAGACUUGUCUGUGAAGAUGCGGACUACCUGCACCAGGACAGAAAGACCCUAUGAAGCUUUACUGUAACUUGAAAUUGAAAUUGGACUUUAUUUGCGCAGUAUAGGUGGGAGGCUUUGAAGGUAUUCUUGUGGGAAUACUGGAGCCAUCAGUGAGAUACCACUCUUGUAAUGUUAGAUUUCUAACUUUGAAUCAUUAUCUGGUCAAAGAACAGUUUCAGGCGGGCAGUUUGACUGGGGCGGUCGCCUCCUAAACGGUAACGGAGGCGCACAAAGGUUUCCUCUGAACGGGUAGAAAUCGUAUCUAGAGUGUAAAGGCAUAAGGAAGCUUGACUGUGAGACCUACAAGUCGAGCAGGGACGAAAGUCGGUCUUAGUGAUCUGACGGUGCUGAGUGGAAAGGCCGUCACUCAACGGAUAAAAGUUACUCUAGGGAUAACAGGCUGAUCUCCCCCAAGAGUUCACAUCGACGGGGAGGUUUGGCACCUCGAUGUCGGCUCAUCGCAUCCUGGGGCGGUAGUACGUCCCAAGGGUUGGGCUGUUCGCCCAUGAAAGCGGUACGCGAGCUGGGUUCAGAACGUCGUGAGACAGUUCGGUCCAUAUCCGGUGUAGGCGUUAGAAUAUUGAGAGGAGCCUUCUUUAGUACGAGAGGACCGAGAAGGACAUACCUAUGGUGUACCAGUUAUCGUGCCAACGGUAAACGCUGGGUAGCUAUGUAUGGAGUGGAUAACCGCUGAAAGCAUCUAAGUGGGAAGCCCACCUCAAGAUAAGUAUUCUCAUCACGUAAGUGAAUAAGGUCACGGUAAGACUAACCGUUUGAUAGGCAUUAAGUGUAAACCUAGUAAUAGGUGUGCUGAGAUGUACUAACAGACCGAAGACUUGAAUUUUUUUAAUACAAAAAUGCUUUUUAUAAAAGCAUUUUUUUGCUUUGGUGUUUUUAGUGUACUAAGCGGAACCACACUGAUCCAUCUCGAACUCAGUUGUGAAACGUUAUAAAUCGACGACAAUACUUGGAGGGGGACCUCCUGGGAAGAUAGUUCAAUGCCAAAGUUUUUAUCGAAAUCAGACUUCUAAAUAGAUUUAGUUCUACUCGUAAUUCUUCACCAGUCACUUCGACUAUAUUAGAUUUUCUAAAAUUGAUUCAAGUUCUAAAUACUACUUACUAAGAUAUUUGUAUUAAUUCAUUCUUUUUU
rnacentral:rRNA from 1 species